GGCAUGGUGUAGUAGUUUAAGUGUUGGAUUACAACUCUGGGGACCAGGGUUCAAUUCCCUGCUAGGCCA